rnacentral:rRNA from 1 species
CGUCUAUAUACGUAUAGCAUAUCAAUAAGCGGAGGAAAAGAAACUAACAAGGAUUCCCCUAGUAACGGCGAGUGUAAGCGGGAAGAGCUCGAAUUUGGAAUCUUAAAGGUUUUCCCUUGACGAAUUGUAGUUUAAAGAAGUGUUUUCGGUUAGAGGAGUUCGGUAAAAGUUCUUUGGAAUAGGACAUCAUAGAGGGUGAGAAUCCCGUAUUUGACCAUUACUUUCUAGCUGUGUGAUACACUUUCAAAGAGUCGGAUUGUUUGGGAAUGCAGUCCAAAAUGGGUGGUAAAUUUCAUCUAAAGCUAAAUAUUGGCGAGAGACCGAUAGCGAACAAGUACCGUGAGGGAAAGAUGAAAAGAACUUUGAAAAGAGAGUUAAACAGUACGUGAAAUUGUCAAAAGGGAAGCGUUUGACACCAGUGUUGUUUUUCCGAAAAUCAAUUACGAAUGUUUUGUUUUAAGAAGUUAUGACUUCAUCGGCUUGCUCUUUCUUUACGAAACUUUCUUAAUGCACUUUUCGGUUAACAAGUCAACAUCAAUUUCUUUUGUUGUAAAAGGGUAUGAGGAAGGUGGCUUUCUUUUCGGAGAAAGUGUUUAUAGCCUUGUGCCUCUGCAAUCGGAGAGAUUGAGGUCUGCAGCGUAGAUCCUUCGGGGUUAGAUACAUUUGUGCUAAGUUAUAGCUUUUCAUAGACAACUUGUUGACUAUGUUUAGUCUUGUAGCUUACUCGCUUACGCUAUUUUACCUACGCUUAGGAUGUUGACGAGACUGUCGAUCUC